UACGAAGGGGGCUAGCGUUGUUCGGAAUCACUGGGCGUAAAGGGCGCGUAGGCGGCCGAUCAAGUCGGGGGUGAAAGCCUGUGGCUCAACCACAGAAUUGCCUUCGAUACUGUUUGGCUUGAGACCGGAAGAGGUUAGUGGAACUGCGAGUGUAGAGGUGAAAUUCGUAGAUAUUCGCAAGAACACCAGUGGCGAAGGCGGCUCACUGGCCCGAUACUGACGCUGAGGCACGAAAGCGUGGGGAGCAAACAGG
rnacentral:rRNA from 1 species